UUCCAGACUCCUACGGGAGGCAGCAGUGGGGAAUAUUGGACAAUGGGGGGAACCCUGAUCCAGCGACGCCGCGUGAGUGAAGAAGUAUUUCGGUAUGUAAAGCUCUAUCAGCAGGGAAGAAAGAAAUGACGGUACCUGACUAAGAAGCCCCGGCUAACUACGUGCCAGCAGCCGCGGUAAUACGUAGGGGGCAAGCGUUAUCCGGAUUUACUGGGUGUAAAGGGAGCGUAGACGGCGAUGCAAGUCUGAAGUGAAAGGCGGGGGCCCAACCCCCGGACUGCUUUGGAAACUGUUGAACUAGAUUGCAGGAGAGGUAAGUGGAAUUCCUAGUGUAGCGGUGAAAUGCGUAGAUAUUAGGAGGAACACCAGUGGCGAAGGCGGUCAACUGGACAGCAACUGACGCUGAGGCGCGAAAGCGUGGGGAGCAAACAGGAUUAGAUACCCCUGUAC
rnacentral:rRNA from 1 species